CUUAUCGCACUAAAACAUAUUGCUGCUGCUCUCUUACAAGCGAGGUGCAUUACUUCUCCGCUCAUCCGCGACAACCCCACACUGUCAGGCUUUAGGGUGAAGCCUUGAGAGCAAGGAAAUGGGAAGGAAGCCAGCUGGGGAGAGGAUAGCAUCCCAAAUCCAGGGUAAGAAGAAAGUCACCCCAACCUGAUACAAGAAGAAUCAUUCAGGCUACAAAAUCAGCGGUUUUAAUUAUUUCCUGGACGGAGUGGGAAUUUUUGCCUUUUAAUAGAGGCAAGACUGUUAUUCCGCUACCAUCUGGCGCGGCGAUGCCGGAUCAGUCGAAACACAUGUAGCAGCCGGCAUCACGUCUGCGAGCAGCCAACUGCCAGCUCCGCGCCAACCACGCGGCGCGCGCGAGCUAAAGCGGCAGAGCCGAGACGCCCCAAACUGGGUUCAAAGAGACGAGAACCCGGGGGAGAAUUUAAUAGUCCCUUUCUAGAAAUACUGUGCUCCGAGCGCCGUUCAAACGAGCAACCUGCCAAAACAACCCGUUUAAUAUAGCAGCAGAGACGCACAGCGCUGAGGACGUUUUGCUGAGCUACCGCUCCGCACAUGGAGGAACGGAGUAGGAAACAGUCACACCAGUACAUUGUACCCGGCUAAUAUUUACUCCUGAACUUUACUUUGGACAACGCUCUGUGGUAUUUUAUUUACUUAAGUUUUUUUUUUAAUGGAAUAAAUAGCUACCCUGCAGAAAUACCAAAUCCUGGCUAGAAACUCACAGCAUAAGUCAAUAUGUAGGAAGUCUUUGUGGUUGUUUAUUAGUACUGAAACAUUCAUAAAGAUCAGCAAGGCAUAAACUGCAUUGUGGAUCUGGACAUUUACUAUGACACUGGCUACAAAGAAAGCACUUAAGUGGCAGAAGUCGGUCUCUAAAUCUAAACUAAUAAUUUAAACUCAGAUCAAAUAUGAAGUAGCCCCUUGUUUUCCUUAUUGCUGCUCUAGAAGUCCAGUAUAUCAGCAAGCUCCAGAGAACAGGCACAAACGAUUCCUUAUUACUGUUAUUUUACUGGAGGUGGCCAAAUAAAUCCAGCCACAGCCGGAAACACUGCACUCUAAGUGCUGAAGUUGGAUUUUUUGCAAGAUAUCACUUGAGACACGGUGUAAAUUCAUAUUAUACAAUUAAAGCAGAGGAAAAGAGGGCAGCUGAGCCAAUUCUAGAUGCUCACCCGAGCCAGAAUACAGGAAAAGGCAAAAAAACGAGGCAAGCCAAGAAAAAAAAAAAAACCAAGCAGCGAUGACUCCGGCCGAGCCUGCUCGUCUCCUCGUGCUCCGCACUCACCUGUCUCCGCCAGAGCUGUAGUGUCCUCCUUGCAUCGUGUCCGUAUCCAGGUGCGACACCAUGUCCAAGCGCUGGUUCAUUUUCGCUAUGACGGCGUCCGCGUUGCCGCCACCGGAGGCGUCGGGGUUCAUGUCAACGUCCGAGUUGGCCAUUUCCCAGGAGUUGGAAGUCGCCAUGCCGUAUCCAUAACUGCCCGAGUUAUCCUGGCCGUAUCCAUAACCGUAAUUGUAUCCCUCAUAGCCUGGAAUGAAAAGAGUCCGUCAUAUUUCUGUUCGAAUCUGAGUUUAGAGGCAAAAAUCUCCCUGCCCCGAGCGGACGUCAAAGCAAGGGGAAUUAAAACAAGCACAAACUUCUAGUUAAGUCACCUGCCAAUUUUUUAACUGUGAAGACCACAAAGGUUUAAGAGAACAAUUUGCUUGUAUAAAUCCUAUAACACACAGCCAGGGCCUCGAGGUUUCUCUCUGCCAAAGCACACCUGCAUCCGAACAAACCCUCAAACUCGAUCUCCGCUCCUUUCCUCCUGCAACAAAACCAGGAGUUGUUCCCGUCACGGGAGACUCAUCAGCUAAGUGGUCCUCUCCCACAAAGAUUAAACAGCUCUGGAAAAUUUUAAGCUGGUUUUGAAUUUCAGGAGGCUGAGAAGCACCAAGCCUAGGGGCAGGACAGUCCAAAAGCUUUGACGUUACUGCUGGUCGCACCUCAACAUGCCUCGUUUCUCGAGGGCAACCAUCAUCCUCCUCACCCAUCUCUUUCUCCUCGACCCAGCAGGCUGCAAAUCCCUCAGUGGAAGGAGUGUGCUGGGCUGCUUGCAUGCGUGGAGAGGGACGUACAUAGAUUAUCCUUCCGCUGUCUCCCUGACCCUGGGUUGUACAGCACAAACUGCUACUAACUCCGCUCAGGUUUUCCAAGCUUUUUUGAGGGGAAAAAAACCAACAAAUAGGGUGUGCAUCCGCUAGAACCGGUUUUCUCUGCAACAACUGUCGCUUACAGCAGCAGAGGAAGCUGGUCUGUUUGCUCCAACAAAUAAAUAAAUAAACAAU